GCCGGGCGCGGUGUCGUGUGCCUGUAGUCCCAGCCACUCAGGAGGCUGAGGUGGAAGGAUCGCUUGAGCCCAAAAGUUCUGAGAUGUAGUCUGCUAUGCCAAUCGGGUGUCUGCACUAAAUUCAACAUCAAUAUGGUGACCUACCAGUUGUGGGGGACCACCAGGUUGCCUAAAGAGGGGUGAACCGGCCCAGGUCAGAAACAGAGCAGGUCAAAACUCCCAUGCUGAUCAGUAGUGGGAUUGUGCCUGUGAAUAGCCACUGCACUCCAGCCUGGGCAACAUAGCAAGACCCCGUCUCU
rnacentral:SRP_RNA from 1 species